rnacentral:rRNA from 1 species
GAAUCAGUACGCUGGUCGUGCCUUCGGUAUGUACUGGUGUCACUGGUUUCUCCCUUCUGAAGAACCAUCAUGCCAUUCACUUGGUGUGGUGGGAAAUCAGGACUGUUACUUUGAAAAAAUUAGAGUGUUCAAAGCAGUCGUUUUACGACCGAAUAGCUUAGCAUGGAAUAAUGGAAUAGG